GAACGCUGGCGGCGCGCCUAACACAUGCACAUGCGGGCGCACUCGCAAGAGUGAUGGCGGACGGGUGAGUAACGCGUAGGAACGUAUCCAGAGGUCUGGGAUAGCGUCGGGAAACUGCAGGUAACACCGGAUACGCACGAGAGUGGAAAGUUUACGCCCUGGGAUGGGCCCGCGUCGGAUUAGGUAGUUGGUGGGGUAACGGCCUACCAAGCCUGCGAUCCGUAACCGGUCUGAGAGGAUGAUCGGUCACACUGGGACUGAGACACGGCCCAGACUCCUACGGGAGGCAGCAGUGGGGAAUCUUGGACAAUGGGGGCAACCCUGAUCCAGCGACGCCGCGUGGGUGAUGAAGGCCUUCGGGUCGUAAAGCCCUUUUGCCGGGGAAGAUGACGGUACCCGGAGAAGAAGCACCGGCUAACUCUGUGCCAGCAGCCGCGGUAAGACAGAGGGUGCUAGCGUUGUUCGGAAUUACUGGGCGUAAAGGGCGCGUAGGCGGCUCGUUUAGUCGGGUGUGAAAUCCCGGGGCUCAACCCCGGAACUGCAUUCGAUACUGGCGGGCUAGAGACCGAGAGAGGUGGGUGGAAUACCCAGUGUAGAGGUGAAAUUCGUAGAUAUUGGGUGGAACACCGGUGGCGAAGGCGGCUCACUGGCUCGGUUCUGACGCUGAGGCGCGAAAGCGUGGGGAGCAAAAGGGAUUAGAUACCCCGGUAGUCAAGGCGCGCUAAACGAUGUGUCGCUAGAUGUUGGGACUUCGUCUCUAGGUGUCGCAGCUAACGCUUUAAGCACACCGCCUGGGGAGUACGGCCGCAAG
rnacentral:rRNA from 1 species